CUACCUUAAGGCAAAGCGCCUAAACCUAGCGAGCCAGCCUCCGCGGGGUGGCUCCCGACGCCGCAGCCAAUG
rfam:Sarcophilus harrisii ctg7180002470481, whole genome shotgun sequence.